rnacentral:rRNA from 1 species
AUUGAACGCUGGCGGCAUGCUUUACACAUGCAAGUCGAACGGUAACAGGCCGCAAGGUGCUGACGAGUGGCGAACGGGUGAGUAAUGCAUCGGAACGUGCCCAGUCGUGGGGGAUAACGCAGCGAAAGCUGCGCUAAUACCGCAUACGAUCUAUGGAUGAAAGCGGGGGACCGAAAGGCCUCGCGCGAUUGGAGCGGCCGAUGUCAGUUUAGGUAGUUGGUGGGGUAAAGGCUCACCAAGCCAACGAUCUGUAGCUGGUCUGAGAGGACGACCAGCCACACUGGGACUGAGACACGGCCCAGACUCCUACGGGAGGCAGCAGUGGGGAAUUUUGGACAAUGGGCGCAAGCCUGAUCCAGCAAUGCCGCGUGCAGGAAGAAGGCCUUCGGGUUGUAAACUGCUUUUGUACGGAACGAAACGGCUCUGGUUAAUACCUGGGGCUAAUGACGGUACCGUAAGAAUAAGCACCGGCUAACUACGUGCCAGCCGCCGCGGUAACAC